AUGAAAGGGAUCUCGCGCGGCAUCGACGCCUCUUCCUGCUCCUCCUCCACCUCCUCCUCUCCUUUAGAAAACCUACUGCUUGUCGCAGUAAACUCCAUGUGUGUAUACUUGAAUACUUCUUCCCGCGGAUUACUGCGGCAUCCCGAUUCGCCGACUAGAGGAGAGGAGGAAGACCAGAUCUUGAGAAGAAGCAAGCAACUACAAAAGAGCUUCCUUCGCUGCCGUGCCGCCCAGUGGUUGUUCGGAUCGGAGCGAGAAAGCAGCAAUCCUGGAUCCUUCUUCUUGUUGCCCCUUGCUGGCUUCUGCCGAGACCAGCAGCUUGGCCUGGUGCUCGAGAAUAGACACUGCGGCUGCAGCAGAGCUAUAGCAUGUAGGUUGGGCACUACUAGAGAGGGGAUCCACCUAUGUAUGCGUGUAUGUGUUGUUUUUCUUCCUAAGAAAUUCUAUACCGAUCUUGAGCCGCGUUCGCACCGAGCGAGGGAGGGAGGCGAGCAGAGGGGAAUUGGCUGGGCCGGCAUGCAUUGA
rnacentral:rRNA from 1 species